CCUUCUCACUAUUACUUUUUCCUUGGGGCUUGACUUCACUCCUGACUACUUCAUCCUGAUGUACCAUCCCAAAAUUGUCCAUGAAAAGCUAUUCAUGGUCAAAUUUCAGGGAUCAAAGAGGUUCUUUUAGAUCUGUACAAAAAAGGUCGUUAAUUAAUUGGUAGUUUGUUUUUAUUCGUACUAAGAAUAUUCUUCAUGGUGCAGUUAUAUCGGAAGCAUGGAACUACUAUCCUUCUCUAUAAAUCUCUUCGCUUGUUGAAAUCUGACCCUAGGUCCAAAAUAUUCUUACCAGCGUGAGGCUCAAAGAGCAUUAUUAAAGUUUUAUUGUGCAGUCGACGAUGUUGUUAUUUGAUUUUAUCCUCAUACUAGGGAUGAAAAUAGACAUGGGAAAGACCCGAUAGAAUAAUUUUAUCAUGAUUUCUGAUGGUUCUUCAUUCCUACUUCUAUCGGAAAAGUAGAAAAGGAUGUUCAAGUAGAAUGAUUUGGAGAAGACAAAGAGAAAAGCUAUUGAUAGUGAAUCAUCUCCUCUUAGGUAGAUCAAAAAAGAGGAAAGGGAUGGUUGUGUCAGUAGAGGGAAUGGAAUUCUCACUGAUGAGUUAUCGACUGAGCCUGAGCAGAAGACUCAUUCUUCGAAAGUUCUCCUAUCACUGUCACUGAGUGAAGUAGACUGAUGGGGAAGUGCAGGGGUGCCUAUAGGGGAGAAUCUUUCAGGCCCCAGACUUUCUACCCAUCCUGAUGCCUUUCCUGGUCCCAGCACCAUCCAGUAGCCCGCGAUCUCUAUGGUGAAAGAAGAGAUGGAGGGCUUAUAUAUUCAUCUGGAUCUUUUAGUCCAACAUGAUUUGCUGAGAAUUUUGCCACUCAGUAAUGACCAAAACUUUUUCCAUCACACCAUCCAUCACCGUUCCAAGGCAAUGGCUCGACCACUGGUGCUUGGUUUGGUAAUUUUUCCUUUUUAUCUUUUCUUGCUUUUCUUUCUUACAAUAUCUCUUUUACCUGUAAGGGUACCAUUGAUACCUUCCAUAUUUUCUCACUUCUUUGGUGAAAGGAGAUUGAUAGAGCAGGAGGAGGGGCCGUAUUCAGGAAAGAAUCGUUGUUUUAGAGAAAAAGGUCCAAAUAUUGUAGGAGGAAUUGCCCGAUGAAAAAGAGUGUGUGAAUAGUCUUCAUGCUUAGUUUUAUUGUCAAGCCGAGAAGAUAAAAGCCACUGAGGCAAAGAAAAGAGAUGCCUCUGGAAGUGAGGAGUAGGACGAUCAAGAAGCGGGUAGAUAGUUGGCCCAACUCAAAAAGAGUUUUGCCGCUACAUUGUUGCUAAGACUGAAGUGGACUUCUUUAGGUGCAAGUCAUAGAAGCUUCAUAUGCUGAAGAAGACGUUGUAUAAAAAGAAGAGGAAGAAGAGAGCUCUACAUAGAGACCUUAACGAGGAGUAGGACUAGGUGCUCUGCUAUGAGGGAUCUCCUUAUGGCCUAUGGCCGUGAUGUCAUCUGGAGAGAUUGUUUAUAGGUUCUCGAGAAGGUCUAGUUUGAUCCUCUCACGGUGGAGAAGGAGAUCAAGAUCACUCUCGAAGUUAUCACAAAUGUUGAUUGUCCUCCUUUAGAUCCUGUCGAAAUCACUUUGUCGUCGAAUGACUUAUCUAAAAAGAGCGAUGGGGAUGAAUCCUAAAGUUCAUCUGUGGAGAUAUUUUAAGAAGUCCUACGACCUUUGUAUUUUCCUCUUAAUUUCAUAUUUAUUAACAUCCCUAAACUUUUUAUUUGCUCGUGGUUGUAGCACACUAGUCUUAGUCGUUUUUUUGUUGCACAUUCAUUGCAAUUUUUUAAUUUUGAAUUGGGCAUGUAUGAGUUGUUGUAACCAACAUAAGAGCGUACAAAUUUUUUUUCGCUUAAUGAUAAGUGAUGAUGACCAAUUUUUGUUUUA